rnacentral:rRNA from 1 species
CCUACGGGAGGCAGCAGUGAGGAAUAUUGGGCAAUGGACGAGAGUCUGAACCAGCAAAGUAGCGUGAAGGAUGACGGCCCUAUGGGUGGUAAACUGCUUUUAUAGGGGAAUAAAACAGGGUAUGCAGACCCUCUUGUACGUACCAUAUGAGUAAGGACAGGCUAACUCCGUGCCAGCAGCCGCGGUAAUACGGAGGAUCCGAGCGUUAUCCGGAGUUAUUGGGUUUAAAGGGGGCGUAGGUGGGUUGUUAAGUCAGUUGUGAAAGUUUGCGGCUCAACCGUGAAAUUGCAGUUGAAACUGGCAGUCUUGAGUGCAGUAGAGGUGGGCGGAAUUCGUGGUGUAGCGGUGAAAUGCUUAGAUAUCACGAAGAACUCCGAUUGCGAAGGCAGCUCACUGGACUGCAACUGACACUGAUGCUCGAAAGUGUGGGUAUCAAACAGGAUUAGAUACCCUAGUAGUC